rnacentral:rRNA from 1 species
AUUGAACGCUGGCGGCAGGCUUAACACAUGCAAGUCGAGCGGUGAAGGGUAGCUUGCUACCUAACCUAGCGGCGGACGGGUGAGUAAUGCUUAGGAAUCUGCCAUUUAGUGGGGGACAACAUUCCGAAAGGAAUGCUAAUACCGCAUACGUCCUACGGGAGAAAGCAGGGGAUCUUCGGACCUUGCGCUAAAUGAUGAGCCUAAGUCGGAUUAGCUAGUUGGUGGGGUAAAGGCCUACCAAGGCGACGAUCUGUAGCGGGUCUGAGAGGAUGAUCCGCCAAACUGGGACUGGGACACGGCCCAGACUCCUACGGGAGGCAGCAGUGGGGAAUAUUGGACAAUGGGCGGAAGCCUGAUCCAGCCAUGCCGCGUGUGUGAAGAAGGCCUUAUGGUUGUAAAGCACUUUAAGCGAGGAGGAGGCUACUUAGAUUAAUACUCUAGGAUAGUGGACGUUACUCGCAGAAUAAGCACCGGCUAACUCUGUGCCAGCAGCCGCCGUAA